rnacentral:tRNA from 1 species
GGUUCUAUGGUGUAAUGGUUAGCACAUCGGAUUCUGAUUCCGGGGAUGUUGGUUCGAUUCCUACUAGAACCU